AUGAGUGUUGUACUAUGAGAACUGAAUUCCAUAGAUGGUGGCAUCUUCAGGUGUCAUCUAUGGGCUCAGUUCUUUUGGUACGGUACUAAUUU
rnacentral:pre_miRNA from 11 species